rnacentral:lncRNA from 1 species
CACGUUUACAACUAUUAGAAUUUUAUUUGUUUUUCAUUCAUAGCUUACUUACAAUCGCACUAGAAUUCAACUCUAUUAGUGAUAUAGGAUUUGCAUCGACUAAAUGAUCUAUUGUCUGUCCCUUUGACGGUUCUUAUAAUAUUGUAUUUAAAUACAAAUUUUAAGUUAAUUAUAUAUUCUACGAAAGGUUCUAGAUUUGUAUCGUACUUGGUAUGAAAGAUAUUACUUUUCUACAUGAUAGUAUAAAGUUCCCUUGGGCAGGGAAGUAUUGCAAACUUCAUUGGAAAAGAAUGCAGUUUAAAGACAAACACAAAUAACGUUACAUACAAAGAAGGAUUGAAAGGGACGAUGUGCAUAUAUGCACCUUUUCAAUACGUACUGUACUGAAAGCAAAAAGAGCUACAACAGUGAUGAUGAAAUAAACUAACACAGACUUCACAAUUAUACAUAUAAUUACAAAGGUCACAACCAGAGGCCGCGGAAGCAUUUCGAAAUUGGGGAGGGGUAUUGCCCAAAAAGGGCACUUUUGUAUAUGACAAAAAUCAAACAUUUUAAUGUCAUUCACUAGCCGAACGAAUAUUUUUUAAAAUAUGGACUCUUUUAUGACGUUGGAAAUAGC